rnacentral:rRNA from 1 species
GCUAAGAAUCUUCCGCAAUGGGCGCAAGCCUGACGGAGCGACGCCGCGUGAAUGAUGAAGGCCGAAAGGUUGUAAAGUUCUUUUCUUGGGGAAGAAUAAGGCAGGUAGUGGACUGAUCUGCCGAUGACAUUAACCGAGGAAUAAGCCCCGGCCAAUUACGUGCCAGCAGCCGCGGUAAUACGUAAGGGGCAAGCGUUGUUCGGAAUUAUUGGGCGUAAAGGGCGUGUAGGCGGUUUUAUAAGCCCGAUGUUAAAUACCACAGCCUAACUGUGGAAGCGCGUCGGGAACUGUAAGACUGGAGUUCAGGAGGGGAAGCUGGAAUUCCUGGUGUAGGGGUGAAAUCUGUAGAUAUCAGGAAGAACACCGAUGGCGAAGGCAAGCUUCUAGACAUGGACUGACGCUGAGGCGCGAAAGCGUGGGGAGCAAACAGGAUUAGAUACCCUAGUAGUCC